AGAUUUAUCAUCUACGCACCCCGGUUUCUAUCAGUGGGAAGACUGGGAGCAAACCCUCUCCCUCCGGAUCACCAUCGUCUCUCCUUGCCGUCUCGUUGGAAUAAAAAGAAGGGAUUCAAUCCUUGGAUCGGUAGGCAUCCAAGCUAAUGCAACUCUAUCUCCUCCAACCCCCCCUCACCCCAACUUCACCAUUCCACUCGCCUCUCAUCAAUGGGAGAAAUCCUCUCCUGCACCCACCCAAGACCCCCUUCCUCCCCUCUUUGGUCGGCAACCCCUCCCUUCUCAAAGGCGUCUCCUUUAGGCCACGUCCCCGUUGCCGGAAUGGUAAGGUCACCUCCUCCAUGAUUGAAAGCCCUGUUCUUUGGGCUGGCAGGCUCUGCAUCUUCUAUGCCCUCCUAAAGGCUGGCCUUGCGGGCUCCCAAUCCAAUCCAUUCAUCUCUUCAGAGGAGGGGAAUGGUGGUGCUGAUUUGGGGUUUUUCAAGUUGAUUGAGAGCUUGCAAGGGAGAUCAGAUGAUAAAGAAGCAAAGGAUAGAAGGAAACUAGUCAGUAAGUGGCAUCCAACAACCAAAGGUACACUCAAGAGGAGUUACAGAGUACCUUCAAAGAAUGAAGGCCGCCGCCUCCUAAAAGCCAUUGCAUCCUUACUCUCUGAUGAUGAUCAUUUCACUGAUGCUACCUCACACAAGGGUUGUCAAAUAAGGAGGGAGAGUGCUCAUGGGGAAAGUGUAUGCUGCAACAAUGUGCGAGCUCUGUUUGAUGAGCUUCCCACUCCACACCUGGUUGUUGAGAUCACUGCUUUUCCUGCAGGGCCACUAACAGACAGAGACUAUGUGAAGGCUGAGAAGCUUGAGAGGGUGUUGAGGUCUGGAUCUUCCAUUUGAGUCUUAUUACCUUCAUACAUGCGACUGUACAUCAAUGAAUGACUUGUACAUGUGUAUCAUGGUAGGAGGACAUGAACUCUGGUGCAAAUGCAUGGUAAAACAGUCGAACACCAACAACAAAUACUUGGCACAAAGAUAGGUGGCAGUUGACAUUUAUGAUAUGUUGUUUUUUUUCCAGGUUUAACAAUUUGAUACUAUCGGUUUUCUAUAGUAUCUUCUUAUUUGUGGUUUGUCGCUUGGUGUUUAUUACUUAUCCGAAGUGCUUUCUUCUUAUUGUUUGUAAAGCCUAGUUGGGAGCUAGGAGAGGUAAAGAACAGUGUAAAUGCAGAUGCCUACAUUUGUUUCAGCUAAAAUGGUCUAAUGUUCCACAUUGUGGAGAAGAUACAGAGGAGAAUAAUGGAGAGAUGAAGAUAAGGCUUGAAAUGACCUUGAUUAAUGCAACAGUCAGUUAUGUGCUAAUAUUAAUUUUACUCUAAAAUAAUCAUUCAAUUUUUCAAUAUUUUAGGUAUCAUCGCUUGUUUGUCCAUGGAUCAAAAGAAUUUUACUUGCAUCAUGAAUGUUGGUGAAACUGCUAUUUUUGAUAGUGAUUCUUACCCUGAGUUUUGUCCCGACAAAAAGUGGAUACAACUGACUGUAAUCAGAAACACUGAAAAUGGAAUAGCAAAGUGGUCAUAACAUUGAACAAAAUUUUAGAUUCUUAAAGUUGCUUGGCAUCAGGGGAUGUGCUUCAAUCUGGUAAUCUGGAACUUUUUAUGGAAGAAAAAUCAAGGAAAAACUUAAGAUGACCCAUUCGAUUUGCUAACAGAUGAUUCUUGAAAUCACCUUGAAAUCAUCCCGGACAAUACUCAUGCAGCUUCUUUCAAACAUGGAGAUGCAAUUGGCAAUACCUAUAUGUUGAGGUCCAGAAACUGCUGGUCGGGUAGCAGUGUCGAAUGGAGAUAACCAGCUCAGCCAGGGAUGAUAAAUACAAGCUCAAAUUGCUCAAUUUUCAAACAGUAAAUAUUUAGUACAAAUUACAAGGCAGAUAAAGUCAGAAAGUAGAAUUCACUAAAAGAUGACUUGCAUAAAAAGUUAUGACCAGAUUAGCUCCUGGUCUGUACAUUGAUUGAAACUCAGACCCGAAAAGAAAUAAAAAUAAGGGACAGCUGAGCUAAGUUGGGAACAUAAAUUGACUAUCUUCCAAAAUUCCUUUUUUUCCCUCAAUAAAUACUGUACAGAAACGGAAAAAAAAAAAA